rnacentral:rRNA from 1 species
GAUGAACGCUGCCAGAAUGCUUAACACAUGCAAGUCGAUGGGGAAGUGGUGCUUGCACCCUGGCAACCAUGGCGGACGGGUGAGUAACGCGUAAGGGACUUACCUGCAGGACUGGGAUAACAGGGGGAAACUCCUGACAAGACCGGAUAAUGUCAUGGAGCUGCAUGGCUUUAUGAUGAAAGGAGACGCCUGCGGAGAGCCUUGCGUCCUAUUAGCUAGUUGGUGAGGUAAUGGCUCACCAAGGCGAAGAUAGGUAGCCGGCCUGAGAGGGUGGACGGCCACAAGGGGACUGAGAUACGGCCCUUACUCCUACGGGAGGCAGCAGUGGGGAAUAUUGGACAAUGGGGGCAACCCUGAUACAGCAAUUCUGUGUGCACGAAGAAGGUUUUCGGAUUGUAAAGUGCUUUCAGCAGGGAAGAAGUAAGUGACGGUACCUGCAGAAGAAGCGACGGCUAAAUACGUG